UGCCGCGGAGCGGCUGGGCCCGUGAGCCAUGGCCGCUGGGCCUGCGCGUCCAGAGCCUGUGCUCCGCAGCGGGAGAGGCCACAACAGUGAGAGGCCCUGGGGACCCCCUUGCUGCCCUGGCGAGCCAUCUGUCACAGGUCCCCUAGUCCAGGAUCCAGCCGGUUGACGGGCUGUAAUGUAAACCCUUGAGGGCAGACCCUAGGCUUGUUCCCUCAGAGCCUGGUGGUUCAGUGACUGGCCUUGAGGUCGACCAGAAGCUGGGCUUGAAUCCCAGCUCCCCCACUAAUCAGAUGUGUGACCUUGGGUAAGUGACUCAACUUCCUGAUCUGUCAAAUGGGGAUAUAAUAUUGGGUUUCAUGAAACCAAUCUCAUCAUUUUAGAGAGCCAUAAAGAAUUAAACAUAUAAUUUAUAUAUUAUAUAUUUUAAAAUAUAUAACUUUGUAGAUGGUAUCAAGGAACCCAAGAAACAACAGAGAGACUUAAAAACGGGCUGCCACAUCAGAUGACACUUUGGCCUAAGUUAUGGAAAAUGCAGUUGCUGAAACGUGAAUUCGCCAGCUCGAAGAUAUGCUACUCCAAACGAGGCUAAGAUUCUAAGAUUGCAUGGAUCUUCCUCAGAGUGUACUCUUCUAACAUAGUGGUCAGUGGCAUUGAUCCCGAUGUUCCCUCCUGCUGAGCCCCAGGCUCACCUGUGCCCUUCACCUGGAAGUCAGUGCGGCGCUGCAGCGUGGAUGGCAGCUCAUUCAGCCGUAGGCUCAGCUGCCGUUUGAAAGUAUGAUUUAAGAGUACGUUGCAUACAAUAAACAAGGCAUGGAAACAACCUAAAUGUCCAUCAAUAGAUGAAUGGAGAAAGAAGAUGUGGUAAUAUAUAUAUACAACGGAAUACUACCCA